rnacentral:tRNA from 1 species
AUUAGGGUGGCAGAGACAGGUAUUAUGCAUAAGGCCUAAGCCCUUAAGACCAGCGGUUCAAAUCCCCUCCCUAGUA